rnacentral:lncRNA from 1 species
ACCUCAAAAUUGAGAAAAACCUUUAAAAAUCACUUUGUACAUGUGUUUCUGUGCGUGUUUGCAAUCGGGGUGGGGUGCUUUCAGAAGCCUGAAGUGGACAUCAGAACUGGAGUUGCGGAGGGUUAUGAGCCCUCUAAUGUGGUCUCUGGAAACUGAUCUUAGGUCCUGUAUUGAACAGCAAGUGGUCCAUCACGCUAGCCCUCAGAAAUUCUUUUUCAUUUUGAACUGGAAGCAUUGAAACAGGGUCUCUAAAGUCCUAGCUGUCCUGGAUCUCACAGAUCCGCCUGCAGAAUGAUGAGAUUAAAGAUGAGCACCACCACGUCUGGCACUCAGAAGUUAAAAAUGUUUGGUUGUAUUUUACACACACACACACACACACACACACACUUUGUUUAGUUUGUUUUUCUGAACUAGGCAUUCUCUGUAGCUUUGGCUGUCCUGGAAGAGCUUUCCAUCUGUCUCUGCUUCCUGAGUGUUUAAGAUGCAUAUCUAUUAACCUCAGUACUCUGGAGGCAGAGACAGGUCUCUAAUUGAGUUUGAGACUAGCUUGGCCUACAUAGUUUUAGGUAAACUAGAGCUAUGUAGAGAAACCCUUCUCAAAAAACAACAAAGAAAUAUUUUAUGUGUGUGUAUACACGUGAGUACUUGCAAGUAUGUAUCAUGUGGUCAGUCUGCUCUCUGAGGAGGCCAGAAGAAGGCAUUGAUCUCCUGGGACUAGAGUCACAGGUGGUUGUGAGCCCCUAAGUGAGUGCUAGGAACUGAAUCUGGUUCCUCUUCAAGAGAAUCAAGUACUUUUAAAGCUGAGCCAUCUCUCCAGUCCAUGUUGCACCUUUUUUUAAAAGAUUUAUUUAUUUCAUGUAUAUGAGUACACUGUAGCUGUUUUCAGACACACCAGAAGAGGGCAUCAUAUCCCAUUAUAGAUGGUCGUGAGCCAUCAUGUGGUUGCUGGGAAUUGAACUCAGGACCUCUGGAAGAGAAGUCAGUGCUCUUAACCGCUGAGCUAUCUUUCCAGCCAGUUAUCUUAAAGUAAUAGUAACAAAAGGAUCCACUUGGGUCUUUUUCUGCUUCUAGCUGUCCUGUCCUGUAGACCCUUUGAGCAUGUCAGCAUUCCUAGUCUUAUCCUAGAUGCUCAAAACCUUGAUGCUCAGUCAUUAAGAUUCACUUAUUGCUAGACUGCCUGUCAGUUUGUAGAAUUCCCUUUUUCUUUGUACUGUGGUCAUUGUAGAUGUCGGCCAGGCUUCUUCACUAUGGUUAUUCUGUGUAAUUCAUAAUGUGUAAAAUUCUGUUCCUUCUUGUCUCCUCUUCCAUUCUCCUAUCCUUCUCCCUUUUUUGGGACUGGGCUUCAUGUAGCCCAGGCUAACCUCAAACUCUUUAUUCUUUCUGCCGCCACCUAACAAAUUCUAGAUUUCUAAAUAUGAACUACCAGACAUUUCUUAUUCAUCUUUCUAUGUUUUAGUUUUUAAUUUUUGAGACAGGGCUCUCACUUUAUGGCUCAUUUGCCAUGGAAAUUGCUCUGUAGCCCCGUCUGGCUUGAACAUGGCGCACUGCUCUCUCAGUCUUCUAAGUGCUGAGACUAUAGCAUUUAACUUUUACUAAUUUCUCUAGAAUUUAAUUUCCUGUUUUUAAAAAAAGAUCUAUUUUAUGUAUGAGUGUUUGCUGCAUGUAUGUACCAUGUGUGUGACUGGUACCUGCAGAGGUCAGUCAAAGGUGUUGCGUGUCCGGAACUGGAGUUAAAGGCAGUUGUAAGCUACUACAUGUAGGUGCCAGGAACCAAGCCUGGAUCCUUUGGGAGAACAAACAGUAAGCAUUCUCAACCAGUGAGCCCUCUCUCUAGCUCCAUUGCCUGUUUUUCAAGUAGGUAAGCAAUUAUUUUGGAGCAGGGUCUCAUGCUAUCCAGGCUGGUCUGAAAUCACUCACUGUCUGGACUCAGCCUCUCAGUUUUAGCUGGAUUAUAUAUUUAUUAUUCUACUAAAUGGAUAAUAUUGGUGUUUAGUAAAUAUCAAUUAAAUGAAUAGUAUUGUAUUUUUGUGUUGCGUGUAAUUUUUGUACCCUACUUUAAGCUCUGGGCAGACUGUGCUACCAGCCCCGCCCAGGUUCCCUCAGAUCUGUGGAUGAAACACACACAGACAUUAACUUAUUUUCAACCUGCCUUAUUGGCUCAAUUGCUGGGCGCUUCUUAUCUUCUGUGGCUAGCAUGCCCUUCCCAAUACUUAGCUCAGCACCCUAAAUAUGUCUACAAUUUGAGUUGAUCAGUUACAUUUAGUCCCAGCUUAACACCCUAAACCUGCCCUCAGCUUUAGUUGCUACCCCAGGCCUUAGUUGAGGAAGUGGCUGAUGGCCACUCCACCCUAGAUCUCGCAUGGUUGGUGGCCUUUUCUCCGAAGCAUCACAAAAUCUCUCUUUCUUCCCCUGCAUCUCUUAGCCUGCCUGUGGGGACCCAGAAGUCCUGCCUUUUUCCUUCUGCCCAGCAAUUGGCCCCUGGCAUCUUUAUUGAUCAGUCAAGAACCAAUUAGGGAACAGGAUCUUAACAUCAGAACCACCCCUACAUCUCACCUUUUCAGUCCAAUAAAACAAC